GUGUGUAAAAGGAAUAUUAGGUUUCUCGAUGAUCAAAAUUGGUGUUUGUCAAAUUGCUAUAUAACCAGUGUAAUUUUUCUGGCAAAACGGUUGUUCAAAAAUUUUUAAAUUUUUAUAUUUUUGUUAAAGUGUCAAAGUAAAUAAUUUAACAAAAUUUUAUGAAAAUUAAACGAGGCAACUUAAUUUUAGUGAAAGUGUUGGGUACCACCUUAACUAUUAUAUAAGGGUAAUUUAGGGAACACACAUAACAUGCAAAACAUGAAACUUAGGAACAAAAUAAACUACAACAGGAAGGGAACACACAUCAAAACAAAAACAAAUGAACAUUAAUUUAUUCAAAAGGAGAAGAGAACACAUAUCAAAAUAAAAACUUAGAAACAUCAUUAACUACAAGUAGAAGGGAACACUCAUCAUACAAAUGGGAACAUCAUAAUUAAAUUUCAAAGAAAAAGGAGCGCACAUAGAAAUGAAAACUUAGAAACAUCAUCGAUUACAAAAGAUAUAGAAAAUGGUAGUGCGAGUUGGCAGGUUAAGUUUUUGGCCAAGGUAUUUUUUUUUUAUUUGAAGUCCAAUGAACUUGAAACUUAUUAGUUCACGUGUUCGCUGUUAUAUGGUCUUUCUAAAUUUAAUGCCAAGUUUUUGACCCACGAUUUCACAGUCCAGCUGAACAUUAAAAAUGAAAGUGUGAUUGCAUGACGGAUCCGUGCAGUUGGUCGAAUAAUUAUGACGUCUUGAAAGGCUUUUAUAAUUUUUUUUCUUUAACGUAUUAGGAGCAACUUUUUAACUUCAACAUGUUCAAGGGGGUGGGUUAUCGUUUAUUUUCUUACAAAAUAUUUUUCGCGCAAGGUGCGAACAAAUUUGUUUACUUUUAUGAUGCGACCAUUCAGAUUUUUCUUUUCAAAAUUCAAAAAUUACAUCUGCCUGACCAGAAAAACACAUCAUCAUCUUAAAGCUGUUACAAAUUUAACAUUUUCUUUUAUUUCUUAUUUUUGUAUAUCUUUCAGUUUCUAAUAAACAUUUAAAAUAUGUAUGCAGGCCGUGGUGAAACUAAACUUACUUAUCUAAAUUGUAUGUGCUUUAUUUGUAUGCAAAAAUUUCAAACCAGAUGCAAAACUGGAAUCAACAUUUUCUGAUAAAUUAUUAAUUCCAAACUCCCCGUUAUUUAAUGUCAAAUUCAGAUCUCUCCUGUCUAAGCUGGCUUGAGUCGGUAGAGUUCAACGUAAUUAUACAAGCGGAUUCCAGUUUAUUCUGAAUCCUGAAAAAUUUCCGAGCACUUCCGAUAUUUCUCGAAUAUUUCUAUUUAUAUAACCAUGUUUUCAUUUAUCGUUUGUAGGUCAAGUAAUGCAUGUUACUAAAAAUAAUCACCGAAUAGCAUCCCCAAUUGCAAGUACAUUUGUAUUCCCUCAAAGGUUAGUCUCCAAACUUGAUAAAAUAAUCAAGAGACCAAUACUGCUAAAUCCUGUGGGUGGCAGAGGUACUUUGAUUUUUAUAUACUUUGAUAUGAAAGUGUGACCUAUUUCAGAGAUUUUAUAUUCUUAUAUACACUAGCUUAUAUAGAAAUUGCACAAGAACAACGGAUUUUAAUCGACCCUUGAAGAAA
rnacentral:lncRNA from 1 species